UGCCUGGUUGGAGCAAGCAUUUUGAUGGCCAUGUUGGACGGGCCACAAUCAAGCAUUGCCUUUGUCAGACAAGGAUCAUGAAGAGAGGGCAAAAAGAUGUGAAUUUGUGUCUGAGCUAUUAUGAUCCACCGUCAUCGACGAUAAUUUAUGAGUAGGUGCAGAAUGGCGGGUGAUCUGGAGCUUACGUGACCGAGAAUCCGGCCCUACAAUCUUUAUGGUUGGCCUGGGGUGAAUUUGUUGUUUGCUGAUGUAUUAAAAUAGGAAGCAAGGGAAUAGGGUGUAUAAGCUAAAAUGUAAUUCUUUCCUUGUCGACUUCGGUUUUGACCCGAGGAAACAAUGUUGUGCAUA